CCUGUCUCCGAGAGAAAAAAAAAAGAUUAAAAUGGCCCCUGCACAAGGAUGACAUGCAAAUUCAUCAAGCAUUCCAUAUGAGA
rnacentral:snRNA from 1 species